CUUCAGCUUCACGAUCGACGUGCUGUGGUUAUAUAGAUUUGAAUUUCAUUUUUUCGUUCGCGACGGAAUCUUAGAUCUCGAAACUGUAAUCAAUUUCUCUGUUGAAGUUUCUCGCUCUGAGUAUGUUUGUGGUGUUGAUAUGUAUACAGAAAGGAGGUGGCAGCGCUGGAGGCCUGUGGCGGCAUCUAGGCCAUUUAACACCGUCGAUAUUCCAUUGUUCAUUGCUCUUAAUGUGUGAAUUGGGUGGCAGGACUCUUCAAAGAAACAGAGAGUGAAUUGCUAAUGAGAUACUGCAAUAUCUGGCGUUUGCUAGUUGGUUGGGUAUAGUUUUGUGUCUCGUAUUCAAUGUCAUUGCAGUGAUAGUCUGCUGGAUUAAAGGCGGAGGUGUCAAAAUCUUUCUUCUUGCCACGAUCUAUGCGCUGAUUGGAUGUCCAAUUUCAUAUCUAUUUGGUAUAGGCCUCUCUACCGAGCUAUGAGGACUGACAGCGCUCUGAAGUUCGGUUGGUUUUUCUUCUUCUACCUGAUUCGCAUUGGCUUCUGCAUAUUUGCCGCCAUUGCUCCUCCCAUCUUUUUCCGCGGCUUGUCAUUAAUGUAAGUCUUCUUCUAAUCGUUGCUCCUUUUGUCUUUCUAGUUCUCGAGCUUUGCAAUGCUUCAUGCAAGGGCUUCACUUAGGAAGUUUUAAGUUGUGUUGAUUGAUUUGAAAUGCCAAGCUGUAACUAGGAAGAGAGCUAGAAAAGCUAAGAAUCUUAGUUAAGUGUUUCGUUUUGAGAUUUUAUUCAGGUUUUCGUUUUGAGAUACUUUUUUUACAUGUCUUGGGGGAUUUUCAAAUCAAACAUUGUUUUCUUUCUUUUUGGUUUUGUUUUGAUGUUUUUGUCUUUCACUUGAAACCCAAAAAGAUCAAUAGGUACACACUAAUCUAAUAGUGUUGUGCCAGAUUCUUAUUUGGGAACAUUGUCCCGUUGCUGCCUCUAUAAGACCAUCCCCCUAGUAAGAUUGGUCGUGCAUGUGAUAAGGAAAGAUGUUAGGGGAUGAUGGCAAAUAAGACCCACACGGCUCUCUAUGGUCUUUAAAGACUUUACUUACCCACAGCUUGAUUCAAAAAUCUGUUUUCAGAUGUUAGAAGGGAGACCCUACAGUUUGAGAAAGUCUUAAAGACAAUAGGACUACAAACUGAAAACAGAUUCUUGAUUGGGAACAUUGUCCCGUUGCUGCCUCUAUAAGACCAUCCCCUAGUAAGAUUGGUAGUGCAGGAAAGAUGUUAGGGGAUGGCAAAUAAGACCCACACGGCUCUCUAUGGUCUUUAAAGACUUUACUUACCCACGGCUUGACUCAAAAAUCUGUUUUCAGAUGUUAGAAGGGAGACCCUACGGUUUGAGAAAGUCUUAAAGACAAUAAGACUACAAACUGAAAACAGAUUCUUGAUUGGGAACAUUUUCCCGUUGCUGCCUCUAUAAGACCAUCCCCUAGUAAGAUUGGUAGUGCAGGAAAGACGUUAGGGGAUGGCAAAUAAGACCACCACGGCUCUGUGGUCUUUAAAGAUUAAAAGACUUUACUUACCCACGGCUUGACUCACACUGUUUUCAGAUGUUAGAAGGGAGAGAGACCCUACGGUUUGAGAAAGUCUUAAAGACAAUAAGACUAUAAACUGAAAACAGAUUCUUGAUUGUGUACUACCCACGGCUUAUAAAUUCUCUGUCUUUAGACAGAUUCAAUGACAAUGGGACUGAAUCUGUUUUCAGAUAUUAGAAAGAGAAUUGGGUUAAACGACUUUGACGGUUUGAGAAAAGUCUUAAAAGUCCACACUGUCUCUAUAGGUCUUAAAGACAAGAGUCUUUACUUACUUACCCACGGCUUGACUCAAAAAUCUGUUUUCAGAUGUUAGAAGGGCGACUCAACGGCUUUAGAUAGUCUUAAAGACAAUAUGACUACAAAAACUGAAAACAGAUUCUUGAGUGUGUACUACCCACGGCUUAUAAAUUCUUUUGUCUUUAGACAGAUUCAAUGACAAUGGGACAGAAUCUGUUUUCAGAUAUUAGAAGAGAAUUGGGUUAAAAAGACUUUGACGGUUUGAGAAAGUCUUAAAAGUCCACACUAUCUCUAUAGGUCUUAAAGACAAGAGUCAGUUACUUACUUACCCACGGCUUGACUCAAAAAUCUGUUUUCAGAGGUUAGAAGGGAGACGCAACGGCUUUAGAUAGUCUUAAAGACAAUAAGACUACAAAAACUGAAAACAGAUUCUUGAUUGUGUACUACCCACGGCUUAUAAAUUCUUUGUCUUUAGACAGAUUCAAUGACAAUGGGACAGAAUCUGUUUGAGAAAGUCUUAAAAGUCCACACUGUCUCUAUAGGUCUUAAAGACAAGAGUCAGUUACUUACUUACCCACGGCUUGACUCAAAAAUCUGUUUUCAAAUGUUAGAAGGGAGACCCUACGGUUUGAGAAAAUAGUCUUAAAGACAAUAAGACUACAAACUGAAAACAGAUUCUUGAUGAUUGUGUUCUACCCACGGCUUAUAAAUUCUCUGUCUUUAAGACAGAGUCAAUGACAAUGGGACAGUUUGGAGGCUUGUCCGAUUCUAAGAGAAAUUCAUUGGACGAUGGCAAACAAAACACAUGACUCAAUAGUCUUAAAGACAAGAGACUGUAUGAAACGUUUCCACAGCUCUGACGGUUUGAGAAUGUCUUCAAAGUCCAUACUGUCUCAGUAGUUCUUAAAGACUUCACUCACCUACGGCUUGACUACAAGUCUGUUUUCGGAUAGAAUGGAGAACCAACUCGGUUCGGUUUGAGAAACUCAUAAGGACAAAAAGACUACAAACUGAAACCCUCUUGAUUGUGUAUUAGAAGGGAAUGGAGUUAAAGACUUAACGGUUUGAGAAAGUCUAACAAACUGAAAACAGAUUCUUGACUGUAUCACCCACGGCUGGCUUAUAAAAGUAGACAAUGGAUCGGUGAAAAGACCUUUUGGAUGGAAACAUUAUAGGAAAUACAAUGACAGUGGGCAGUUUUAAGACUGGAUGGAAUAUCAACGACCAGCUUCUUAGAACAUGUCAUUAGACAAGUUCAUUCACACGACUCUGUGGUCUUAAAGACCAAAAAAAGAAUUUACUUACCCACGGCUUGCCCCAAAUCUGUUUCCUUGAAUGAGAUGGAGUUUAACGACACGAGAAAGUCUCAAGACAAAGACUAAGAGCUGAAAACAGAUUGCUUAUCUUACCCACCCACGUCUUAAAAAAGUUGAUCAUGGAGUGGUUAAAAGAUUUGUUGGAUCGGAAAGACAUUGACAAUGGGGCAGUUUCAAGACUGGAUGAAUAGAAAUUAACGACCAGCUUCUUAGAACAAGUCACUAGGGGAUGAUGGCAAGAGACCCUUGUGGUCUUAAAAGACAAUAUUACUUACCCACGGCUUGACUCGAAUUUGUUUUUCAGUUACUUGAAUGUGAGAUGGAGCUUAACGACAGCCCCACAGCCGGUUCUUGAAAGCAAGUACUUACCCCCCACGUCUUAUAAGAAUCUAAAGACAAAGUCACCUAUCGGUUAAGAUUCUUUAGACAGAUUCAAAGACAAUGGGGAAGCUUGUUUGGUCGGAUAAAGGAAUAGCUUCUUAAAACCAAGUCAUUGGAGGAUGGCUGGCAGAUAAAGACCCAAACGGCUCUCUAGUCUUAAAAAGACUUUAAUUACCCACGGCUUGACUUAGAUCUGUUUUCAGAUAUAUUAGAAGGGAAUGGAGGUACAUACAAACGGUUUGAGAGUCUUAAAGACAAAAGAAAACAAACUGAAAACAGAUUUCUUACCUUACUACACCCACGGCUUACAAAGUAGACAAUGGAUCGAUUAAAAGACUUGUUGUUGGAUGGAGACAUAAUAGGCAAAAGAAAAUGACAAAUAACACCACACGACUCUUAUGAUCUUGAAGACAAAAGACUUGAACUAUCUACAGCUUGACUCUUUAAGAUGGAGUUUAACGACAAGAAAGUCUUUAAGAUUUUAAACUGAAAACAAGUCUUGACUGUACCACUUAUGUCAUGAAGACAAAGACUAAUUCAUGAUCUGAGAAGGAACAGUGGCAAGCAAGCGGCAUAUUACUUGAUCUAAAGACUAACUUUAUUUUUUGAUUUCCUCAGAUUUGUGCUUCAGAAGGUGUGUUCAAAUCGUUAGAGAUUCUGAGAAGAUUUCAAGUGUAUCAGACUUCUGCUGACAGGUGUAUAAUUAAACUUUGGUUGUUGUAUGAGAGCGUCUUGGAUUUUACAUGUAGUUUAUAGUUUUAUUUGCUUUAACUCGGCACGCUGCAGGGUUAUCCAUUUAAUCCUUUUGAUUUCCUAUUUGCAGGUGUAUAAUUAAACUUUGGUUGUUGUAUGAGAGCGUCUUGGAUUUUACAUGUAGUUUAUAGUUUUUAUUUGCUUUAACUCGGCACUCUGCAGGGUUAUCCAUUUAAUCCUUUUGAUUUCCUCUUUGCAGUUUUAUAAUUAAACUUUGGUUGUUGUAUGAGAGCGUCUUGCAUUUUACAUUAUGCAUCAAUUUUUGGUUGUUGUAUGUGCCAUCUGCAUCACCUUAUACACGUUUCCAUUUUGCA